rnacentral:rRNA from 1 species
UACGUAGGGCGCAAGCGUUGUCCGGAAUUAUUGGGCGUAAAGAGCUCGUAGGCGGUCUGUCACGUCUGCCGUGAAAACCCGAGGCUUAACCUCGUGGCUUGCGGUGGAUACGGGCAGACUAGAGGUAGGUAGGGGAGAACGGAAUUCCCGGUGUAGCGGUGAAAUGCGCAGAUAUCGGGAGGAACACCGGUGGCGAAGGCGGUUCUCUGGGCAGUAACUGACGCUGAGACGCGAAAGCGUGGGGAGCGAACAGG